rfam:secondary endosymbiont of Trabutina mannipara isolate TRABTM genome assembly, chromosome: I
GUGUUGCUCCUAAACAUAAGCAACGUCAAGGAUAGCAAUUAAAAAGAAGAAAUAUAUUAACUUAGGAGUGCACAUGGUACGUAUAGCAGGCAUUAACAUUCCUGAU